rnacentral:rRNA from 1 species
CCCUACGGGAGGCAGCAGUAGGGAAUUUUCGGCAAUGGGGGGAACCCUGACCGAACAACGCCGCGUGAAGGAAGAAGGAAUUCGUUCUGUAAACUUCUGUUAUAAAGGAAGAAAGGCGGAUGAAGGAAAUGACAUCCGAGAGACGGUAAUUUAUGAGAAAGCCACGGCUAACUACGUGCCAGCAACCGCGGUAAUACGUAGGUGGCAAGCGUUAUCCGGAAUUAUUGGGCGUAAAGAGGGAGCAGGCGGCAGCAAAGGUCUGUGAGGAAGGACGG